rnacentral:piRNA from 1 species
UGAAAUUGGUAACGAGCCUCAGAAGGGA